rnacentral:rRNA from 1 species
AUACGGAGGAUGCGAGCGUUAUCCGGAUUUAUUGGGUUUAAAGGGCGCGUAGGCUGUGCGUUAAGUCAGGGGUGAAAUGCCGUCGCUCAACGACGGAGCUGCCCUUGAUACUGGCGUGCUGGAGUACGGAUGCCGUUGGAGGAAUGAGUGGUGUAGCGGUGAAAUGCUUAGAUAUCACUCAGAACACCGAUUGCGAAGGCAUCUGACGAAUCCGUCACUGACGCUGAGGCACGAAAGCGUGGGGAUAGAACAGGAUUAGAUACCCUGGUAUUCCACGCCGUAAACGAUGAUGACUAACCGUCGGCGAUAGACAGCCGGUGGCCAAGCGAAAGCGAUAAGUCAUCCACCUGGGGAGUACGUCGGCAACGAUGAAACUCAAAGGAAUUGACGGGG